rnacentral:rRNA from 1 species
CACGUAGGGGGCAAGCGUUGUCCGGAUUUAUUGGGCGUAAAGAGCUCGUAGGCGGCUUAGUAAGUCGGGUGUGAAACCUCCAGGCUCAACCUGGAGACGCCACCCGAUACUGCUGUGGCUAGAGUCCGGUAGGGGAGCGCGGAAUUCCUGGUGUAGCGGUGAAAUGCGCAGAUAUCAGGAGGAACACCAGCGGCGAAGGCGGCUCUCUGGAACGCAACUGACGCUGAGACGCGAAAGCGUGGGGAGCAAACAGG